rnacentral:lncRNA from 1 species
CUUCAUUAAACUAACAUUUCAUAAAUCUAAAUUGUUCCAUUAUGCAUCAUGUGUGUAGCAUUGCAUCAUCCACUCCUUGUGGCUCAUGUUUGCAUUAUUUUAUGGCAUUUUUUCAUUAUUUUAGUUUUUGCACGAUUUUAGUCACUUUUAUUUCGAUUUUUUUUUUCUUUUGGUGGUGUGCUUGUAUGUCCUAGGCUUCUUGUGAUUUAGGUUGGAUUCCUACAUUGUGGGGGUGGGUGUAGUGUUGAAUAGGUAAGGAAAUUUAGGUUUUCAUUGAUGCACGCCACGUGUUCGAUAGAAUGUCCUUUUCACCUUUUAAUUUUGCUUGCCCCACUUAUGCGUCUCCUUUACAUUUAUAUCUUUGAUCCAUAUUACUUGUUGGUUGCUUUUGGAUCUCAUUCCGAAAGACACACCUUACACAACAUUACUUACAUCUUGACGUCGUAUCACUCACGACUUGACGUCAAGCUACCUGUGCCUUGAUCCGUGUUAGCAUCUGUGUUGCCAUCAUCCUUUCAACCUCCGAUCACUACUUGACCUUAGUUAAUGUCACCAUAUAGUUUUGCAUUGUUUUGCGUGUUUUUGCACUUUGUUGCGUAGUUUUACAUGCCUUACACUGUUUUGCUUAUUUUUGCACUUUGUUGCAUAGUUCAUGCAUAUCAUGCUUAGAUGGUCUACAAGAGCUCUAGUAUUCUGGUUUCUAAUUUUGAUCAUUUGCAACUGUCUUGUAUGCCACAUGCCACCUAAGCGAGCUCGAACUUUUGCACAGACAUCUAGUGGAUCGACCUUCUACAAUAGGUCUAGGUUAAUCUCUUCCACUGCACACGAGGUCUUCAGGUCUCAGUUCUCCCUCCGUCCUGAUCUUUUCAAGCGUGAGGUAAUUCUCUCCGACCUCUCUCUCGACUUGGCUGCCAUCUUCACUUCUUGGAGGUGUGAAGCAUUGCUGAUAGACCUCUCUCCACUGUCUAGUCUCCUAGUCAGGAGUUCUAUGCGAAUAUGCAUAAGAUAGAUGGGUUGUUGUUUUGGCUUUUUCUUAGGGGUACGACUGUUAGGAUUUUACCUGAUAUCAUUUCUUGCACAUUGCAAGUUCCCCAUGUUGUUCAUCCCAUUUUCUCCCAACUUUCUGCUGAGACCCUUCUGCAUGACUAUCUGGUUUGGUCGACAUUGUUCAACUACCCUUUAGGGGGUGGUCCUACGGUGAUCCGCACAGUAUCUUUUCCCACUGAUUACCGAAUUCUGUUACGCAUUAUGUGCACGAAUCUUUAGCCAGUUUCACAUACUUCUUCCUUGCCUACGGAGAAGGCAAUGUUUUUGAAUGCUUUAUUACAUGUUGACUCGAUUAACUUGCCUACAUUUAUCUGUCAUCACAUUUUGCGCAUGUUUCUAUUCGAGUCCCAGGUCACAAAAUAGGUCUCUCUUAUGCCUGUUUGAUUCAUCAUCUUAUUACUUCUUUGGGGGUCACUUUUCCCGACGGGGUUUCAGGACGUGUCAGUCGACCUAUAGGUCAGGUUACUGUAUCUUAGAGUUGAUCACAUGUCCCUUCGUCCUAUUCUUCCACAGAGCCGGCAGAGCCUGCUGAUCAUUCUUCUGUUGGUCCUUCACAUAUUCUUGCUUCUACUUCUCAGCCCACUAUUCCUUCUGAUCUCUCAUCAUCUUCUACCUCGAUUUUAGCUCUUCCAGUUGAGUCCAUGCCCGGGACUUCCUC